CGGCGACACCUAGCGAGCGAGCGACAGGCUGCGGCCGGGGAACGAGCCCAACUUCGGCUCUCAACUUUGUUUUCGCUGCAGUAAACGCUGACAGAAGCGUCGGGGACAUCUGUGGUGUGACAGCAAACUUCCUUCUCUGCCGGGGACUGAACUGAGGUGUCCAGGAUUCGCUGCCCAGUCAGGUUGCGCUGCGAAGGGCUGCGGCUUGGCAGGCGCGUGGUGCGGUCAGCACGGGCUGCGUUGGGCCUUGAGCAUCACUGUGAGGCAGAGCCUCAAGGCACAUAAAUGAACUGGAGGGAGACAAGAUGAAAGGAGAACUGAUUCCAAUUUCAUAUUUAAUUUUUUAGCUGGUGAAUGAGAUAAUGUGCUGAUCAUCUUUCCAGCUGGAAUGCUCUUUUACUGGUUUAAUGAGGGUCAUAGGAUUUUUUUUUUUCCUCAUAGCUCUUAUGUUUGACUUUCAAAUAAAGCAAAUGUAGUAAUAUGUUGAUUGUUUUCUUCUGCUUUUCUUUUUUGUUCUUCCCUUGCAAGCCCUGUGGGAUCACCACUUCAGUAUUCCAGAAGGAAGCAAUGGAAGACUUGUUACCUGUGAACAGACUUGUCCUAUGAACUAUUACAGCACGUACGUAAGAUUUCAGAAGUAACUGGUUUUUGAAGUGAAAACUCAGGUUAAUCCCAAGAACAGAAGACCUUGUCGGAAUAUGCUGGAGAAACAUCACUGUUGAAGUUGCUGUUUGCUCUAGUGGAUAAUCUAUUCCUGAAUAGAUCUUCAGUGCCAAAGGAAUAUAAAGUGACAAAUACCAUUUCAGUCUGUGAAACAAUCUCUCUGUUUCCUGAGCACUACAAAACAGAUCUUUCUCAGAGGUAAACUGAAUUUCUCUGAGCUAAAUACAGUAAUAGGAGAAUUAGGAAAUACAUAUAAUGGUUUAUAGAAGACUAAAUGUGGGAUUUUUUUGUAUUACAAAAUAAUGCCUCACGCUCUGCUAGAAUUUUGAGGGCCUGGUGCACACGUGGCUAGCAUAGUUCAUGUGCUAUUGCAGGUCACCUAGAAGAAAGCUAAUUAUGAUCUUUAGCAAAAACCCAAAGUUAUACAUAUUUGUUAAAAUUAGAACUUGACUGUAAAGACUUAAAGAUUUGUCUACUGCUAAGAUAACAAAAUGGGAACUGCAGAUGCUGCUAUGUAUGUGGGAAAAAUAAAAAUAUAAAAAAGCAUGUGCAGCAACAGUUUUUAAUUGGAAAAACAUUUCUGACAGUCUACUGAAAAGCAUUUGGUCAGUCCCCUGUAACAUUCAAAAAGCAUGUAGGAGUAUUAGGAAUAAUGCAGCUAUAAUGUGUAGGGCUGUGACUGAAAAAGACUACAUAGGAUCUAAAAGACGUACGGGAAAAGAUUUUCAAAGUAAUCAGUUCUGUGAUUGGGUUACAGUGCACAAUGAGGUUAAAUACACUAGGAAUUUUCAAUAAUAAGACACAGUGAUUAAGGGCCAAAUAUUAUGGAAGUAUAGAAAAUCAUAAGCAUUUUAAUUGCCAUGGGAUAGCACGGUGAUGAAAAUGGGUUUAUCGUUUUUCUGGAGGAUAAGUCUGCAAGGAUCUGUUAAACAUAAUUAUCCAAAUGUGACCUCUGGCUCUGGAGGGCUAUCAGAUAUGCUUUUCCCUCUUCCAUGUGUCUGCUGAUCUGAUUCCUUCAAAGGCUUUUUUUUACUGCCUAAAAUAAUCAACUUUCAUUUGCCUGCCACUGAGGUAUUAUGAAAGCUUGAAGCAAUGUUUAAUUUUGCCUUGGAAAAGAAACUAUAUCUACAAGAACUUGAAACAUGUAUUAUGCUGAAGAAAAUACAUUCUCAUGUUUUAUGCUUGCUUAUUUAAUGGUUUUCCUGCAUUUGAAGCACAAAAGUAAAAUGUGAUCUCUUUAUUUGUAUGAAAUAAUUCAUGGAGCUCAGAACAUGAGUAGAAAGAUAUUAUGCUCCAAAGAUAUUGCUUUGUGAUUGAUUCAGGUGAUUUGCGAGUAUGUAGGGCUAUGACACGUUAUUGUAAUCAAAGAAAUGUUUGUAUAGCACCAGCAAUGCAUGCAUUGCAAGGCCAGAAAACAUUGUGCUAACUGCCUGCUUUAAUCAGAGGACAGAGGUAGUAAAGCUUAACUGAAUUCUCUCUUGUCAAGCUAUUCUUGUACUGUAUCUCUUAAUUAUUUUAAAAGAGUUUACGUAUUUUCCAACUACCAAGCAAUAGAAACAAAUAUUUAAUAACUCUCCUAACAUUGCCUUUGUAGUGUCAGCUUUGUUUCAGAAAUAUGCUGUCAUAUUUCCUACAGAAUUUCCUUUCUGUGCCCUUUAUUGCUUCUCACUUACCUUAAUAACAUCCUUUAAUCUUUGCCCUUGGGACUAAAUAAUGGAUGUUCAACACCAUCUUUACUUUUGAAUGAUGCUUGAAAUGCAGAGCAGCAUAGUUUAUUUAUCCUUCAAAUCUAAGGAUACUUAGAAUUCCCAAUGCUUAAGCUCUGAAGACUAAGUAUAGGGCAACAAAUAAUGUUUUUCUGCAUAGCAGCCUUCAUGGCUGCCAGUUAGAUAGUUAUUCAGAUAUGUGUUUUUUGAUUAGUUGAUCAGCUGAUUUUUUUUCUUUCCAGUUUUCUGCUGUUCUGCCAGCUCUGCUGUUUGUCAGGCUUUGCAGGAGAAAGCCAGCUGUCCUGUUAAAUUACCAGUCUUUUCAAGAGGAAGUCAACUUCAGCGUUCUUUUAACUGAUAGAUAAACCUACACUGCCAGAAAUAAAAAAAAUAAAGAAAGAAAGAAAAAAACUUGUACAACUGUACUCAAUAUCUAGCUUCAUGACUACAAAUGCUCUCAUAGUUGUGUGAGGAUGAGAAAUAUCUAAAAUUUGUCUAUAUCGUCAUAAAUAUUGUAAGCACAUUGCUUCUGUGUUUCUUUUUUUCACUGUUAGGGGCAGUGAGCACCUGAAGAAGUGGUUUCUUACUCUUACUGAAUUAUAUAGAAUCACAGAAUGGCUUAGAUUGGAGGGGAUCUUAAAAGUCAUCUAGUUCCAACCCUCCUGCCGUGGGUUGCCUAUCACUAGACCAGGCUGCCCAGGAUCCCAUCCAACCUGGCCUUGAAUGCUUCCAGAGAUGGGCCAUCCACAACCUAACAUCUAACCUCAAUCUCUCCUCUCUUAGUUUAUAGCCAUUGCCCCUUUCCUGCCACUACUAGACUGUGUAAAAAGUCCUCAAGUAUAAAAAGCUCCCCGCAGAUACUGUGGAAGACCACCAUGAGGUCUCCCCAGAGCCUUCUCUUCUCCAAUCUAAACAAACACAGUUCCCUCAACCUUUUCUCAUAGGAGAGGUGCUCCAGCCCCUUGAUGAUCUUAAUGGCCCCCCUCUGGAUCCACUUCAACAGCUCUGCAUCCCUCCUGUACUGAGGGCCUCAGGCCUGGAUGCAGUACUCCAGAUGGGGCCUUACAAGGGCAGAGUAGAAGCCACCCAUCCCAUUCCACUGCUUAUACUUUUCCUCUUUUCUGUCAGCUUGGUUGGCAGGUCCUUGCUCAGCCAUGCUGCUUUACUUCCUCAUCUGCCUGAUUUCUUAUUCUGGGGGAUGGAAUCCUCUUGUGCUUGAUGCUUCUUUCAAGAAAAACAUCUUUGUGAUACCCUCUCUUGCUCUUUGGUUGCUAUGGUUUUGCUGCUUAAGAACUAAAAAAGUAAAGGAACACUGAUUGUAGCUGGACAUAAUUACUUUCAGGUUUUACUUUUGUUUGUACAUGAGACUGAAUUAAUCAUUACAUUGGUUUCUUCUACUGUAUAAACAUGCCCAUAUACCUUGUAAUGUAGCUUGGUUUUAAGUCCAUUUAAAACAAGAAAUAAAAAGUAUAUUUACAUCAUUUUACUUUUUAUUUUUCCAGUUUAGCAAAAGCAGUUUAAAAACCGCAUUCAAAAGUGAAAUGAGACACAGCAAUGUAAACAAGCCUAUGACCACAUACAGCUGCUCCCUAAGAAGUUUAUAUGAGAUUCACUUCUGCUAAAAAUAGAGACUUGCCUAGAGUAAGCUGUGUUUCUUUGUGCUCCCAUUUAGGCUCCGCUCUAGUCAAAUGUUCUGUGCUGCACGUUACGCAGUGACUGGCAGGAAUGGGGCCUUAUGUAAAUAUGAUGGAUGAGGUUUGCAGAAUGAAUUCUAGUUCAAUAAUUUGUGAGUAUCUAGCCUGUGUGCUUUAUCUGUCUUUCCUGGAGAAGAUGUCUCAGGGAAUUGAGACAUCUGUUGUGAUGGAUUUUGUAUGGCAAAUGUCAAUCCCA
ensembl:lncRNA